AAAUGACAUCUAGGUCUCAUGGUAAACUCAUAUCAAUGGCAUAAUCAACUAGCGAGCAAUAAUAAUAAGUUUCAAACGUUAACACUUCAAUCAAGACAAUCAUGAAGCAGUACGAACAGAUGGUAUCUCGCUAGCUCUUUCUGAGACCGCAAAACAUAAAUACAGAGCACCUUCAAAGACCAAGGGCUGACUAAACAUUGUAAU
rnacentral:lncRNA from 1 species